UAAAUGUCAUUAUGUAAUAAAGGAAUGGGCAAAUAUGUAAUAAGUGAUGAGCCCUUAUUCUAUAAAAUGACUCCUCACCCUCACAAUUAGAGAAGGCCAAUUCCUAGGCCCUCUCACCCCCUCUCAAAGCCUCACUCUCAUUACAGAGGCUCUCACACUCACUCCCCUCACUUCUCAGAGAAAUACAAUAACCAGUGUGGACGUAGCCCAAACCUUGGGGUGAACCACGAUACAUCUUGUAUUAUUUACUUUCUUGCAGAUUCACGGUCGAAUUUACGUUAUUCCAAAACCUCCGGUUUUGUGCAUCAACAAAUAUCAAUGUCUGAAUCUUGUCUAGUUUGAAGAUAGAAGAAAACUUAUUCUUCCAUCCUACCAAAACUGAAUGUAGAGACAAAAUUUAAUAAGUUAUCUAAUUUAAUAUACAAGACACAAAACGAAACAAGACCUUAUAUAUCUAGGUUAAUUAUGGCUUUAAUCUAAUUAUUGUAAGCAUUGCUCGUUAUUAUUUUACAAAUUAUGCAGAAAAUUAAUUAGCUAGGUUCUGUUUGGUAUGCCAUAGAAAGUGUAGAAACACACGGUUUCUAAUCACCUAUCCCUUGGUUGGAACUGCAUCUUUAUCCAUGACUCAUGGCGAGCCAUGCCGAUAUAGUAGUUCUGGCUUCAGCUACCUUAUGUCUAUGGCAUCGCAAUCUUGACUUUUGAUGCCCAUGAUAGACCGUGUUUAUCAUAUGCUGGGACACACAGACACUGAUAACCACAAUAAUAGUAGACUAGUAGCAGCGAAUUGUAGGGCAGUCCGAAAAUCCUGCACAACAAAAACAAAAUGCAAUCAAUCUUCACUUCUCAUAUUUUCUAAAUUUUAGUCAAGACCGAUACUAGCACAACUCUUUAUAUUUGUCAAGUCUUUGAGUCUUAAAUUACUUACAGUUUAGUUUCAAAACCGUAGUUCAUCUAAAGUGCGAAUUCUCAUAUUAAUGGAAACAUGAGUACUGUUAGAUUGACGAGUUUAUAUUUCUUUACUAGGUAUAGGGUUUUUUUUUUUUUUCUUCUUGUUUUUGUAAUCACAGUCUAUUGAUUUAUUCCCGUUUAAAUGAUUAGUAACACUAAAGAUAUACCAAUCAAUCUAUUGGAUUCUCCAAAUCUGACUCUAUCACUCUGCAGAUUAAUAACAUAUGUGGGACCGCAGGUCCCAUUGACACAGGUAAAUAGUAUUGUUGCUACUUGCUUGGUUUGAUGAUGACGACGACGAUUCUGUUUGGGAUAUGAUGUUGGACAUAUGAAGCCCGGAAAGUGUGAGAAAAGAGAAUGGGAGCAAGAUGAUUGGAGAAGGCAAAGGCCAUGAUUGAACACACGGAGAGUGUGUUUUAAGCCAUCCCCUCCCCCUUGCGGCAUUGUCCCAUGGUCAACAAUCCUAGCUUGUCCUUACGCAAGCAUAUCAAUUUAUAUUUUUACAGUCGAAUAAUAUAAGUUAUCUUUAACUUUUGAAAAAACUAAGAGAUAUAGGAGAAAUAAAGUUCAUCUUAUUUGGUAUUACUCUGGCACUAGUUAUGAGAGUCGUCAAUCUCUUCCUAAAUUUUAUGUUGCCAAAAAAAAGUUUCAUCAUUAUUUCGUUCACACUCAACAUCUUAACAGAAUUGAAUUUUUCCUAGCUAAGGGAAAUGAGAAUAGGACUAUGGUCAAAGAAUCGUUGGCAACUGUCGAUUGAAAUCAACAAGAACAAUAGUAUUUCGUAAUUCACGACACUCGAGAGGAUUUUUUAUUUUUCUACAAUUGUAACCUUUUUAGAUAUGGGUAAGGACACCGUUUGCUACACUCACGUCUCCCAAGAAAGGUUUGUAAUCUAAGCAAGGUCAAAAUUUGAGGAUUUGAUAAUGCUGGCUGUUGAUGUUUACGGAACUGACCCCAAGGUUGAAAUGGACAAGGAAAUUAUCAAUAAGAUCAUCAUCGAGAAAUUUUUCUAAGGGUCCACACGGAUUUCCUUAGUGGAAACAACAAGCCCGAGGAAGUUGAUUCGGUCUACCCUACAGAUACCUACUAACUCCGCCUACAACUGGUGUUUCCUUAACUUUCUCCAACACGACUUUGGAUGUCAUAAGCGAUUUCCCAACAGAUAUGCCUCUGCCCACCAUUCCUAAGGAACAUAUGUUGCAGAAUAGCGAUCCGAUAUUGAAAGUCAUUCAUCAAAUAAUUACGACAAACUUGAGGCACAAUCCCGACACGAAUUUCUUAUACUUCAAAUAGGAUGUGACUAUUCAGGCUGAAUGAGGAUUGCACAACUGUGCCGAAGGACAUCAGUAAACAGAAGCCAUGACAUCCAAAUGAUAUCAAGGCCAACACACUACUAGAGUAAGAGAAGAUCCUAGGUAUGCUCUGAACAAACCAUUCUCUGAUACCAAACUAACACGCCCCAAUCCCAAUAUCCCCAUAUACCAGGGUAGGCACGUGCUGGUCGACACCCAAGGGUGACGAAGCCAUUUUAAAUAUGCAAACAAAUAAAGAAUAUGCAAUUAGAACGAAAUAUGCCAUUGUACGAACAUGUUCAGAGCAUACAACGACUAAGAAUAAUAUGGAAGAAUUAGUAAGAAAAGAUACGAACAAGGAAAUGAUACCUAUACUAAGAAGACUCGAGGAUACCUAUGUUGUAGAGUCAUGACACCGGGAACAAAUGUCUCGAUUCUAACUCCUGAGGUGGCGCAAAAACCAAAAGGUGAGUGGACAAACUUUUAUAAUAAUACUAAUAAGAAGAAAACAUUUUAUUUCUGAACAUAAUAAGCCCCUGUUUUGAAAACACAUAUAAUACUACAUAAUAGAUUUUCUGAAAACCCUAGCAUGCCAUGAAAAACCAUUUAAUAAGGAAGUGCGUAAAAUCUAGUGCUCAAUUAUAGAAAUAUCAUUGCCCGAAGGCAAUUUUGUAAAACAUCUAGAAAUCACGUCAGUGAGGUACUCACUAGGGGUAUCAUAGUCGCCCAAAUGUAAUACAUGUCCAUCACCUGAAGGUGAAGCUGAAUAACAUGUCCAUCACCCGAAGGUGAAGCUGAAUAACCUGUCCAUCACCCGAAGGUGAAGCUGAAUAAAAUAGCAUAACAUACACAUCAACACUAACCGUGGCUAGUGAAGCUGUCCGACACUGCUUUCGGCAGUUAAGCUGGGGGUAUAUCAUAAACAUCAUCAAUUGUGUCAUAUGGCGAUAGACGUCAUACCCGUGUUGUGUGUAUGUGCCAUAUGAUAACCCACUAGAUAAGUACCAAAAACAUAUCUCAAAACUCGUAUUAAAAUACCGGAGUUCAAAAGCUCAAAGUCACAUCUCAUAAAUCCAUGAUAAAUCAUAUUCAUGAAUCCAUAAAAUAAAUCAUAUUCGCAAUUUCGUAAUAUAAAUAGUAUUCGAAAUCCAUAGAAAUCCAUGUAUGCAAAUCCAAUAAUUUGUAUCCAUUCGUAAAACGUAAUCUCUAUAAAUUAUUAAUAUUUUGUAAACCCUAAAUUAUAGAAAUCCAUAAAUCAUAUUAUAAAACAUACUUAAAUCAUGAAACAUGAGAUGCAUGCUAGGGUAAUGUUUAUAAAAACAUAUAAGUUAAGAAGGGGUCCACUCACAAAUAUUUUAUUGCCCGAGAGCUGCUUGAACUAGCGAGGAGGGUGCCACCUCCCACCGAAGCACCUAAACACAUAUAGAGGCCAUUUAAAAAACUAUACUAAAACGUCAGAAUUUUGGAAAACGGGUGACGAAUUAUGUCACGUCCCGGAUCCGGGGUUGGAAAAAAAAUUAACCCCGCACCCAGCGCACGAGUAAAAGUAAAAUAAAUAAAAGGAAAUUGACACGGGUUGGAAAAAUAAACUCCACUUUUUAAAUAUAACUCCAAAUUCCUCACAGGGUGUACAAAAGUAAUAAAUUAAAAUCCUUAAACUUCUCCUCAAUCACAACCUCAGCUCUUUUAACACAUGUCUUGCCAAAUAACAUCUGUAAAAUAAUAGGUGAGGGGUGAGCAACAACCACCAUCGCUCAAUGAGUAGAAUAUGUAAUAUGUCAAUCAAGCAAUGCAUGUUUACACACACUAGAAAAUACAAUAAUAAUAUCAAAGGUUUAACCACGUAAUUUCAUAUCACAUCAUCCUUUUACGUGUUCAUUACAUCCUUCAUAAAUUGUAACUCACCACGUGACCUCUACUGGCCUUUUUGCCCUAAUGUCCCCGUGUGCAGUUUACAUUUAUCCCUUGGAUUAAUGCAACACUAAAGUUCUCAUACUCCAUGAACAUAUCCAAAUAAUCCACAUAUCACCAUAUUAAUAAUUCCAAAAGCAUUUCAACAAAUCCAACAUGCUUGACUUAAAAUAGAUAGAGAUUUAUAAAUAGAUAAAACCCACUAUAAUUCAUGGUUUUCAUUUAUCAGAAAAUAAGAAUACUUUAAAACACAUUACAUAAACCACUCACCUUGAUAAUCCAAGCUUUGGCAAGACAACCCAACUAACAUCUCUACAAACCUCAAACUCUCUAACCCUAAACUCUCUUGCUUCUCUCUACGUUGAACCUUCGAUGCAUGCUCUGCAUGUUUCCUUGAUAUGCGAAAACAAUGGAGCAUGGCCUUCUAUUUAUAGGUUAGGGAAGCCGGCAACAACUUGGUUGGAAUUGGAUGGUUUUUGGGGUCUCAAAGGCA
rnacentral:lncRNA from 1 species